GAUGAAGAACGUAGCGAAAUGCGAUACGUAAUGUGAAUUGCAGAAUUCAGUGAAUCAUCGAAUCUUUGAACGCACAUUGCGCCCCCUGGUAUUCCGGGGGGCAUGUCUGUCCGAGCGUCAUUGCAACCCUCAAGCGCGGCUUGUGUGUUGGGCUUCGUCCCCCCGUGGACGUGCCCGAAAGGCAGUGGCGGCGUCCCGAAUGGUGCCCGAGCGUAUGGGAACUCUCUUCCGCUCGAACCGGCCCAUUCGGCGCUGGUCGAACCCCAAUUUUUUUUUACCGGUUGACCUCGGAUCAGGUAGGGAUACCCGCUGAACUUAAGCAUAUCAAUAAGCGGAGGA
rnacentral:misc_RNA from 1 species